AUUGAACGCUGGCGGCAGGCCUAACACAUGCAAGUCGAACGAGUGGCGGACGGGUGAGUAAUGUCUGGGAAACUGCCCGAUGGAGGGGGCUAACUACUGGAAACGGUAGCUAAUACCGCAUACCAUCGGAUGUGCCCAGAUGGGAUUAGCUAGCAGGUGGGGUAACGGCUAACCUAGGCGACGAUCCCUAGCUGGUCUGAGAGGAUGACCAGCCACACUGGAACUGGGACACGGUCCAAACUCCUACGCGAGGCAGCAGUGGGAAAUAUUGCACAAUGGGCGCAAGCCUGAUGCAGCCAUGCCGCGUGUAUGAAGAAGGCCUUCGGGUUGUAAAGUACUUUCAGCGGGGAGGCGUUACUCGCAGAAGAAGCACCGACUAACUCCGUGCCAGCGGCCGCGGUAAUAC
rnacentral:rRNA from 1 species